GCGAGGGAGCGGGGCAGCUGGCAGCGGCGGCGCCGCGGUAAGGCACUCAUUUGGUACUUCGGAAGACCAUUCGCAUGGUCGGUUGUGUCCCUAGUACUGUCUCUUCUGUCCCUAGUUUUCGCCUCCGGCAGAGUGUGAGUCCUUUGGAGGCCAUGCCUGCUUAACCAACAAAUGGCCUAUGAAACAGGUCUGUUUCACUAACCAUCACAUUAACCGUUCCCACCGUUCCACUAUUUAAGGUAGGCCGUUGUCUGCUUACGGUUUCAGUUCUAACAGCUGGGUAUGGGACCACGACUGUUUUCCCAAUAAAACCAUAUAACAAUACAGUUCGUAUCUCUGCAGUACUAAUCGCUGUAUCUACGACGACGACUACUACUAUCCCUCGGACAAACGCGUCGUGUUUCACGUAAUGAGUUCCACGUACUACGUUAACAACUACGAGACCGUUAGUGAUCACUGAGACUACUAUUUCUUCGGUUGUAAGAACAUGGUCGAUCAGUUCGACGUUCACAAUAACCUUUUAGACCAAGACAGUAGUUCUCCGAAGCGAGUCAAAGUUUUAGUAAGUAAUUUCAAUUUGGUUUUCUAGGUUCACUACAAUGUGUAAGUACACGAUACUCAAAACUAUUAAAGCAAGUCUAUUGACCCCUGCGAUCUCGACAGUUCUUCCGUAACAAACGUCAUAGUUGUUAAUAGAUGUUUACAGGUAGUUUUCUCUUGUAAAGAGAACUUUGUAGAUAACUGCUUGAAGGAGGUUGGUAAUAUGAAGGAAGUCUCGAAGGUCAAAUAGGCCGAUCGUCGAAUAUGAGUCACAGUCUACGAAGACACAGUAGACCCGUAGGUUCAGACAGAUAGAAUCCCCGUUCUUCAGCACCAAGAGUACAAGGACUUAAAUGACAUGGGUGACUACGGGUACCACCUAACGGGUAAAUAGUCAGAUACCAGGGUCGAUAAGGAUGAAUAUUGUGGGGGUUUACAAGUCCUCUCGAUAACCACGCACAACAUACGGGACCACUGUUCUAACCCAAUCAAUAACCAUUUCCACCCUACUGGUAUUUCUUAUAUUCCUUUCUUUCACCACGUUCGCAUCUACAACUACUGCGUUUCUUACUAUUCCUCCUUUCGUAUUAGUGGUAAAGCAGUUGACUCCGGUGGUUACUACAAUUCAGACGUCGACACCUUCGACAAGAAGACGAAGUUCGUUUCUAGUUGCUACUUUGACUUCUAUCUUACGUAGAGGCGGAAGAACAAGGCCCAUUACAGUAACCGACGGAAUAGCCGUUCCCACCAAGUUAGUAAUUACUAUACGCCUUAUUCAGAUUCCGUUAAUAGGUGUAUAGGUUCCCAUGAUUCGGGGCCUUCCGUAGAAGGUUACUACUCGAACAGCUCCACAAGCCCCUUCACCUGUUUGACGCACUACGAGAACAAGUCUAGCAAGAUUCCGAGGCCCUUCUUCAAGACUUCCUGUCACGCCCCUCCGUUUUAAGACCGUUCCUACCCUUCGAUUGACAACGGUGGUGACUUGGGCACAUAAGUUCGUCGAAAGGCUACGGUCGUAAUAAUGGAAUGUCAGUUGUUUAGUGGGGUAACGCGGUACUUGUUUCCCCACUUCGACUCGCACCAAACUUACAUAAAGGAGCAUCGUCGAACAUAGUACCUAUGUCGGGGUCCGUCCGACAUCUACUACCUAAACCUCAUGCGAGGAGUAUGUGAAGUUUCGGAAUACCUUCUGCGCAGGGCCUAUACCUUUACAAAUAAGGAAGAUCGCCGGAAAGUUUUCAUUACCCCUUCGUACCAUGUUUGAACCUGUUAUAAUCUUUCUAAAGACCUCGACUGUAACUUUAAUAACUUAGUUUUAGUAGAGCAGUACUCGUACAACGAUUGUAUAAACCGUGGGGCCUCGUCUCCGUCAGCCGUCUCUUAAACUAGUUUCGAAAGUAUUACAGAUGAAUUCCUCCAAGGACGACAUCAAACUUUCCUAUAUACACCUGGGAAGUCAGUCGAGAUAGCCUGAAGAGAACAGUAGGGCAUCUAGUUUUUGACACAAGAGGUAGGGAAGUUGAGAGGUUAUUUGGAGUACGAACAGAUAGAAGGAGUCUGAGGGUUGGUACCGAUAUGAACACACCUGAACAGGCACAAAUUAGCGUACAAGUCUAUAAGGGCAGAUUAGAGCUACUGACGAAGUUAGAGACGGAUAAGUAUUGGUUAAGAAAUACGACAGUCGUGACUAACGACUAUACAAGCGGUCAUACCCUCCCCGUGAGAAACCGGUGAAGUCAGUCUUGUACGUCGUGUGUAAAAAAGUCACGACACGAACCACCGUUAUGGCAUAAAUCUAUAGGUUCCUCAUAAGAUUGUGAAGCAAAAAUUCUUUAGAUAAUGUAAUAAUGGUUAAUCUUAAGAGGAGUAGGAAAAGUACUAUCUGAAUUUGUAGUAGCAAGAAUAUGAGAAAACGGGCAUGGAACUAACUAUUAGAAGUCAGCUUGUGCACCGUGUGCAAAAAAGUAACAAGACGUACCACCGAUGUAGUAGGAAUCUAUGGGUUCCUGAAGAGAUUAUGAAUUAAAAUUCUUUAGACAAAGUACCACUGGUUCAUCUUUAAGAAGUACAAGAAAACUUUAUCCACAUCAAUUUUUCAUUAAAAUUCUUUAGACAAAGUACCACUGGUUCAUCUUUAAGAAGUACAAGAAAACUUUAUCCACAUCAAUUUUUCAAGUUUUAGAACUUUCGGGGCGGGUACUUGAAACCAACCCAGUAUGAGAAGGUACGAUGGGUACGUCCAAAAGGAAAAAGGAAGAAAUGAGGGGGUGGUUUUGACAGCUUAUUCAAAUAAUUCUACGAGUGUUUCUGGGGAACCGUUGAAUUUCGUUCUGUCUCUCUUUUGUCCAUGGCGGACUCGUUGUCUAAAAUGGUUGUGGAGGAAUGUUCGACAUCUAUUGCAAAAGAGUUAGGUAGGGAAGUGGAAUGAUGUGUUGGACAGGAAGUUUAAUUUCCGAUGUUUAAAACUUCAUGGAUUCAUUACCGGGAUUUUAACACAUAUCAGACUUUUGUCCAAGACUUGAACUGAGAAGGGUUAGUUAGCAGAGUUGAUUAGGCCAUUUAAGGAAUCCACCUAUCCAAAAAUCUAUACAAAUGCAAAAAACUGUAGUGUUGUAUUCAUUAUAAUAACGGGAAGACUUUAUCCACAACCAACUCAUUACCGGGAUUUAAUACAUUAGAUCUUUAUCCAAGAAAAGUACUGAGGAGAAGGGUAAGUAAUAGGGUCGAAAACACAAGUAAGGAAUCGGUACAUACAAAGAUCUAAACAAUGCAGAGAAUCUGUGGUUUGACACUUAUCAUCUAUCAAUCAGUACAGGUAAGAAACAUUUAUCGUAGAACAAUACUCAACGUUGACGAACCUACGACGUUCAAUAUAACGCCGAAGACGAGUGCGUAACGAUAAUCCACUUAAGCAGUUGUUUCUUGAACUCUUACGACUCUAAAAUACCGUCAGUCGACUACUAAAGGUGGAGAGAAGAGACAAGGACACACGAGACAUACAGUCGCGGCUAUCGACUAAGAGAGACAACGGUCAUGCCCCUCCCCGGUAAUAUGUACAAGAAUAGUCACAAAAACGUACUACUGCUAUGGUAGGAAUAUCUAUAGAUUCCUCACCUAUGAGGUUAUAUCUCGUUUAGAAAACUUUAGACAAAGUAACAAUGGUUGAUUUUAAGAAGAGCAGGAAAGCACUAUUUGAAGUUUAACGGGAAGAAUGAGAAAACGGUGAUUGUCAUCUGGAGUUAGACUUGUGCUUCGUGUGUAAGUUAGAUCACAAACGUAUCACCGUUAUGGUAGGAAUCUAUAGACUCCUCAUAAGGUCACUAAGUCAAAAUUCUUUAGAACAAAGAAUACUCGACGUUGACGAACCACCAUGACGUUGUAUUGAACACCGUCAACCGACUACUAAAAGGGGAACAAAGAGAUAAGAACAAACAAGACACACAGUCGCAACUAUCGACUAAGAGAGACAACGAAUAUGCUCUCCCUGGGAACAUAAGAAAGUGGUUGAACGGUACUAUCAGAAAUUAGUGUUAUACGUUAAGUGCAAAAGGGGGUCACAAAACGUACCACCCUCAUAGUAGGAGUCUAUUGAUUGAUCAUUUUGAAGUUAAAACUCGUUAGAAAGUUUUAUACAAAGUAGCACUGGUUGUUUUUAAGAAGAGCAGGAAAAUACUAUUUGAAGUUGUACUAAGAAUAAUAUGAGAAAACGGUGAGCGGUACUAACUGUCAUGAGUUAGUCUUGUCGUCAUGUACAAAAGGGCCACAAACGUAGCACCGUUAUGACAAGAAACUAUAGGUUCCUCAUAAGAUCAAGAUAUUAAAAUUCUUUAGACAAAGUCGUAAUGACUCAUGUUUUAUGAAGAGCAGGAAAAGUUUAUCAACAUCCACUCAUUACCAGGACUUUAAUGGAUAUUAGCAGACAUGGACUGAGGAGAAUGGUAAGUAGUAGAACUGAAGACGACAGUAAGUAAUUGGUACGUGUAAGGAUCUAUACUGACUAAGAAACUGUAUUGUAACUUGUCAUCUAUAAGUACUGUCGAGAAACAUUUAUUAAUUAAAGACAAAUACUCAAACGUUGACGAGCGUUCUAUUGAACGACG
rnacentral:rRNA from 1 species